GGCUCAGAUUGAACGCUGGCGGCAUGCCUUACACAUGCAAGUCGAACGGCAGCACGGGAGCAAUCCUGGUGGCGAGUGGCGAACGGGUGAGUAAUAUAUCGGAACGUGCCCGGUCGUGGGGGAUAACGUAGCGAAAGCUACGCUAAUACCGCAUACGAUCUAAGGAUGAAAGCGGGGGAUCGCAAGACCUCGCGCGAUUGGAGCGGCCGAUAUCAGAUUAGGUAGUUGGUGAGGUAAAGGCUCACCAAGCCAACGAUCUGUAGCUGGUCUGAGAGGACGACCAGCCACACUGGAACUGAGACACGGUCCAGACUCCUACGGGAGGCAGCAGUGGGGAAUUUUGGACAAUGGACGCAAGUCUGAUCCAGCCAUUCCGCGUGCAGGAUGAAGGCCCUCGGGUUGUAAACUGCUUUUGUACGGAACGAAAAGGUUUCUAUUAAUACUAGGAGCUCAUGACGGUACCGUAAGAAUAAGCACCGGCUAACUACGUA
rnacentral:rRNA from 1 species